UCUCUCUUAUUUUUUUCUUCUCUCUUUCACUCUAUUUUCCAACUACUUUUCUUUACUUUUCUCUUUUUCUACUUGAUGUUUCUCUCUCAUUUCUAUUUGGUUCUUCCUUCUUCAUUUCUAUUUUCAUCCAUUCAUAUAUAAUUUUUAUAUCUUCAUUAAUUUUUAACACUAUUAUAAUUUCUUUUGGUUUUCUCUUCUUUUUUCAAGUUGUAGUAAUAUUGAUAUGCACACAGAAACGAGUAGUAAAACUACAAUAAAAAUAUUGUAGAUCUAUUGAUAAGAACACGAAAAUAGAUAGUAAAAAACAUCAACAAUGUUUGUGAAAACAUAAAUUUUGAAAUUCCAACGCGGUGGUUCUGUCUCCUGCUGCCGAGGAUAUGACUAAUAUGUGUCAAGAAAAAUAUGUGGUAAAUGGUUAAUGGUGUUGUAUUUUUGUGUUUUAAAGGUUAAAAAGCUUUUUUAUUUGUUUUUCUAAUUUGAAUUUUGAGUUUUGCAUGUAGAGGCCAAGAGGAUUGAAGGCUAUGGGAAGUAUGAAAUGUGACUUGGAAUAAUGAUACAAAUGGGAUAAUGGAUCUAUAACAACACACAACAUCUAAACUAUUUUGAAAGACAUAAUAAAAUGGUGAUGAUAUUAUGAAUGGAUGAUUUUUUUUUCUAAUUUAUAAGUUUUACUUUUUCUUAUUAAUUUUUUUGUUUUGUUCACAAAAGAUUAAUUUUUACAUAAAAAACUUAAUAAUUUUGUAAAUUUUAAUUAUGUUUUCAUUUAUUUGAAUAAUUUUUAUAUGUAAUGGUCUAAAAAGAAGAAAUUGGAAAUUAAAAGCAUGAUGAGACUCACAAUUCAAUGACAGACCUACAAAGGCUAAAAUGCAUUGAGACCCACAAUUUUUUUUUUUUUACUGUGACAGACCUAUGCAUUGAGACCCAUAAUUUAAACAUUUAAUUAAUAGGAAAAAAAUCAUGACGUUCUUUAUGGGAAAUAAUUAUGAAUUAAAUUUUACUUAUUGACAUUAAUAACAAAAUAUGGAAAAUAAAUCUAUUUAAAAUAAAAAAGCAAGAUGAGUUCUUUGGCAAGUUUGCCAAGUGUCGCUCUUUCAUGCAUUCUUAUAUUUUUCCUUAUGCUAUAAAAGGAAACUUUCAUUUAAUAUAAUUGUAUUUAUUUUAUUAAAUUUACUUUUCAUUAAAUCUAUUUUUUAGUUUGACCUGUACAAAUGACCUAAAUAAUUUUUCUCUGCAUCCAAAGCAUUCAAUACACCCCUUGGGAACGUGUAGUAGCACGCCAUAUUUAUUAUUUGGUUUUGGAAAACAAUUAGCCUCUUGAAUUUCGUCAUUAUAACAUUGGAAACACACUAAUAAACCUUUGCACUUCCUAUUCUGUUUAUAGACCUUUGCACUUCCUAUUAUGUUUAUUCCUUUAACUAAAUUCAUGUCUUUAUUUAUUUCCUCUCUCACCAAGCGAUUAAUUGUUUCAUUCCUUCUCUCUAAGAACAGUUUCAUCAACAAUGAAUAGUAAUAGUAUUGUGAAGAAUAAAAGGAAGAAGGAAGAACGAGUGAAGCUUUCAAUCUCACAUGUUCACAAAAUGGAUGUUUCCAAAGUGGAUGAAGUGUAUUUGAUUUCAUCGGUUUGCAGUCGUUGAUUGUAAAAUCAUAUCUAUGUUACGAGAUUUGCAACAAAGGCUUCCGGCGCGAACAUAAUCUGCAACUUCACCAGCAAGGCCUUUUGUUACUCCAUCUUUGAAUUCACUGUUUUCUAUUAUUUUGAUUAUGUAAUUUUAUGAAUUUGUGUUGCUCUUUGUUCAUCAUCAUAUUAUUGUUUUUUGUUUGUAAAUUAGGGUUUCAAUUUUUUUGCGGCUGAAUCCAUAAAAAAAAAUGUAUACUUUUGUUUAAGUUAGACUCUUUUCUUUUUAUGAUAAAUGGUUUUUUUCUUAUUAUAAUUAAAUGAUUUUUU